rnacentral:rRNA from 1 species
GAUGAACGCUAGCUACAGGCUUAACACAUGCGAGUCGCGGGGCAGCAUGGGGGUUGCUUGCAAUCCCCGAUGGCGGCCGGCGCACGGGUGAGUAACGCGUAUCCAACCUGCCCUUCACCACGGGAUAACCCGGCGAAAGUCGGACUAAUACCGUAUGUUGUCCAUUGACGGCAUCCGAUUUGGACGAAAGGUUUGGCGGUGAAGGAUGGGGAUGCGUCCGAUUAGCUGGACGGCGGGGUGACGGCCCACCGUGGCGACGAUCGGUAGGGGUUCUGAGAGGAAGGUCCCCCACACUGGAACUGAGACACGGUCCAGACUCCUACGGGAGGCAGCAGUGAGGAAUAUUGGUCAAUGGGCGUAAGCCUGAACCAGCCAAGUAGCGUGCAGGAUGACGGCCCUAUGGGUUGUAAACUGCUUUUAUGCGGGGAUAAAGUGGCCCACGUGUGGGUUUUUGCAGGUACCGCAUGAAUAAGGACCGGCUAAUUCCGUG